CGCUGGCGGCAGGCCUAACACAUGCAAGUCGAGCGGAUGAAAGGAGCUUGCUCCUGGAUUCAGCGGCGGACGGGUGAGUAAUGUCUAGGAAUCUGCCUGGUAGUGGGGGACAACGUUUCGAAAGGAACGCUAAUACCGCAUACGUCCUACGGGAGAAAGCAGGGGACCUUCGGGCCUUGCGCUAUCAGAUGAGCCUAGGUCGGAUUAGCUAGUUGGUGAGGUAAUGGCUCACCAAGGCGACGAUCCGUAACUGGUCUGAGAGGAUGAUCAGUCACACUGGAACUGAGACACGGUCCAGACUCCUACGGGAGGCAGCAGUGGGGAAUAUUGGACAAUGGGCGAAAGCCUGAUCCAGCCAUGCCGCGUGUGUGAAGAAGGUCUUCGGAUUGUAAAGCACUUUAAGUUGGGAGGAAGGGUUGUAGAUUAACACUCUGCAAUUUUGACGUUACCGACAGAAUAAGCACCGGCU
rnacentral:rRNA from 1 species